GGGUUAAUUCUAGCUUCGGAGGAUCGAGAUUCCUCUCUGGGCUACAAAUCCCAAUCUUUCUGCGCUUGGGUCGCAUUUUCCUAUGCCAGGUGGAGUGCCUGACUUGGAAAUCAUUCGUGAUCAUUCGCUACAGUUCGAGGCCUUGACAUUGCGCGCUGUCGCCGACGUUUGUAGGUAACGUUUUUUCGUUGUUCUUGUACAACUUCUUCUCGCAGGAAUCAAAGGAGAUGACUAUCCAGAAAUAUUCUUGCUGCUACCAAGGCGUUUGGUCUCAGAGCGGCUGUCCAGGUUGUAGACUUGCAAGUAUUUGCCACCACACACGUCGUUGGAGCCCGUUGUUGGCGCAUUCUAGAUCAUAGUCUCUUUAAUGGAAAAGGUUUACAUGGAAAAACUUUCACCUUUGCACUGACUGACACAGGUCACCUGAUCAAGGAAUAAGAAAUGUACUUGUGGCCCGGAAAUUAACGUCAUAGACUACUCGAA